CCGGUAGUGGCGGUGAGCGGGCG
rnacentral:miRNA from 1 species